rnacentral:rRNA from 1 species
GUGAUGGAGGGACGCAGUAGGCUAACUAAAGCAGACGAUUGGAAGUGUCUGUCUAAGCAGUGAGGUGUGAACUGAGUCAAAUGCUUAGUUCUAUAACAUUGAGCUGUGAUGGGGAGCGAAGUUUAGUAGCGAAGUUAGUGACGUCACACUGCCAAGAAAAGCUUCUAGCGUUAAUUAUACUCUACCCGUACCGCAAAC